GCCCGGCCCUAUCGAAGCUGCGUCUGUCGGUGCUGUGGUAGAUGCAGUCAAAAAGGAGCCGAGAGCAGAGAUUUUCCUCGACGGUCGCCGCUCAGUUGGAGCCCUAGUAACUGUCCGGCAACAUUUCGGGAAAGUACAUGG